rnacentral:misc_RNA from 1 species
UGGGCUUGACAUGCAUGGGAAGAUCUUGAGAGAUCAGGGUCGCUCUUCGGAGUCCAUGCAGCACCUGUGUGCAAGUCACCGAAGUGAAGGAGUCCAUCUCUGGACCCCGUCCUGCCAUGUCAAGGGCUGGUAAGGUUCUGCGCGUUGCUUCGAAUUGAACCACAUGCUCCACCGCUUGUGCGGGCCCCCGUCAAUUCCUUUGAGUUUUAAUCUUGCGAUCGUACUCCCCAGGCGGAAUGCUUAAUGCGUUAGCUGCGCCACCGAAGAGCAAGCUCCCCAACGGCUGGCAUUCAUCGUUUACGGCGUGGACUAC